AAAGCGAUCAAGAUUGCUUUAUCGCCGAGUGACGUCAUAAUCUCUAGCACCUGUUCACCAAAGCUCGGGUUUCCAGGAUACGCCAUUUAUUGUCAAAUCAAGAUCACCGGAUAUAAAAUGCGUCCUAAGUGUUUCUUUAUCAUUUAUUUGAUAAUUACAAUGCUUGUGGAGAGUAAAGCUGCCUCUGUGGCUGUACAGAAGGCGACCCGUGGUCUGGAGACAUGGUGCAGAACGCGAGAGUGUAUAGAGGAAAUGCUCAAAUGGGAACAACAGAUGUCGUCCCAUAAUAUAGGAAAUAUCUUUGGAAAAUUUGGAGGGUGAUGACACAUUCCAGCGACAAAGUUUCCGUUGGCUGAUUUCAGUUGAUUUUUAAUUGUGCUUAAUUAAAUAAGUUGCUGACAUUGUCAAAAAACUGCGUUGCCAGUGAGUGAAAUCGGUAAGGCGACUGUUAUGUCCUUAGUAUAUUUCCUACGCUAGUGUAUUGGCAAUUUAAAUUUUUUAUUAUCAUUGUCGGAUUUAGUAGUUUUUCUAUUCUUGUGUAUCUGUUAUGUUAUUCAUUUCACUCAAACGAACUUUAAUAAAUAAUUUAUUAUGUAAAUAAACACACACGUGUAGGUACAUAUAUAUAUAGAGAGAGAGAGAGAGAGAGAGAGGCGCACUCAGAAAUUGCAGUUUAUAUAUUAUAAGUACAUGUCAUUGUAUAAUAAAUGUAAAUCUGU